rnacentral:rRNA from 1 species
UACAGAGGGGGCCAGCGUUAUUCGGAAUUACUGGGCGUAAAGGGCGCGUAGGCGGCCUCUGCAAGUCGACUGUGAAAUCUCCGGGCUUAACCCGGAACGGUCAGCCGAUACUGCAGGGCUAGAGUGCAGAAGGGGCAACUGGAAUUCUCGGUGUAGCGGUGAAAUGCGUAGAUAUCGAGAGGAACACCUGCGGCGAAGGCGGGUUGCUGGGCUGACACUGACGCUGAAGUGCGAAAGCUAGGGGAGCGAACGGG